ensembl:lncRNA
GGAAGCUGUGGAGAGAGCUGGGCCAGGCUGACAAAGAGGCAGCGGUCAGGUAGUGUUUAAUUUCAUGGGAGCUGGGUUCAGUCAUGCUUCCCCCACUGACGUCAGUGCAAGAAGAGCACUUUCAGCCAGUUCCUACCUGCUGAGCCCAUAUGUCCACUGGGAAGGAUUUGGCAGACAUCUCCACGUAGAGAUAUAUUUACUCCUAAUUUCAGCAGAAGCUUUCAGCACAACGUUUAUCUGCAGAUGAAGGAUCACCAAAUGCUUACAACUGAAGGAAAUGAACAUCAAAGGUAAUCCUGGUAGCAUUGACAGAUUUCACUAUUCCUGCAGGGUGGCUACCACAUGGCCUGGCAUCACAUCCAGAGGAGCCCUCCUUUGGACUUUUCUUUAUCCAGAGAGGGGAAAAGGAACAGAAACCCCAUGAAGUCCCAGCAGCU